GGUUGUAUAGUGUAGUGGUUAUCACUUUCGGUUUUGAUCAGCUGAAGUUUCCGAACAACCCCGGUUCGAAUCCGGGUACGACCU
rfam:Ascoidea rubescens DSM 1968 unplaced genomic scaffold ASCRTscaffold_4, whole genome shotgun sequence.